ACUCCUACGGGAGGCAGCAGUGGGAAUAUUGGACAAUGGGGAACCCGUAGCAUCCAGCCAUGCCGCGUGUGUGAAGAAGGCCUUCGGGUUGUAAAGCACUUUCAGUGGGGAGGAAAGGUUGUUGGUUAAUACCUAACAGCUGUGACGUUACCCACAGAAGAAGCACCGGCUAACUCCGUGCCAGCAGCCGCGGUAAUACGGAGGGUGCAAGCGUUAAUCGGAAUUACUGGGCGUAAAGCGUGCGCAGGCGGUCUGUUAAGCGAGAUGUGAAAG
rnacentral:rRNA from 1 species